ensembl:lncRNA
AUGCUGACUGGACAGGAGUUAAUACCUUGUAGGAAAAAGCCAGCUCCAGAUACAAAUAGCACAGAAUAUUGUUCAAAGUUCUUUGUAGAGUUAGCUCAAGGUGUGUCUGUCAUCUUGUGCUUACCUGAAUUUUUCAGAUUUUCACAGUCCGGGCAGAAUGGAAAUCAAACGAAACCAAACUGCUGCUGCUGCUCUGCUUCCUCACUAGCACGUUCACCCCUCUCCAGUGCCUUGUGGAGACCUGACUGGGCAUAUGGACCGCAAAAAAGCCCCUGGAGGCUGGAUAUAGGCCAAGAGGCCACUGGAACUCCACUCCUGCUUAAGAACUACAGAAAGGAUAGCAAACCAAUGUUCUAAAUCUCAAUCUGCAUCUAGUUGAAGUGUUCCUCAAUAGAUUACUCUCAUUCAUGGUUUUGGUGAUUCUUCCUCUAAUUCAGUCAUUUGCAUGGGCAGCUCAAAUAACUUCUUACUGCUUACAUUAAUUAAUUGCUUUUGACACUAUGUUUCAAUCAAAUUCCCACUGUGCCUCUGAGAAGACCCAGCCUGCGUGACCUUUGACAAGCUGCAGUGCCCUAGGGGGGUCUCAUCAUGGUAUCAUCUGAAAGUCCAUCCAUCAUUACACAUAUUUAUUUUAUUUAUUCUGAAUAUUUAUAUCCCACCUUGUGUUGCAUGAUCUCAGGUGGGUGCACAGCAAAAUGUUUUAACACAGAUUAUAACAAACAAAACAAACAAUGAAAACAGUUUAAAGCAAAUAUAUAUGCCAUCUUUCUCCCUACAGGGUACCUGAAGUGGCUCAUAACAAUUAAAUUGUACAAUUAUAACCGUUAAAAUACUAUACAAAACUGUAUAGUAAAAACAAAUUGACCGAGAUUAAAAACCAACUGAGGUUUUUGAACACUCUUCAAUGAGAGUCUGUUGAGAAUGCACAGCGCUGUUAUGCUGUUUGAGAUUUCCUUCAACAAUCUCCAAACUGAGAGCAAAAAUCAAAGACACAGAACACAGGAGAUGUUCCCUUCAGCAAGAAUGUAUUUACAAAAAUAUACAUACGUAGCACUUCAGAACUGGCAGAUUCUCACAAUUCCUUCCGACAAAGUGACUGGCUGCUCCUCCAUACAUUAAUGCAACAAAAAAGCCUAGUCAGCAACUUACUUACACACUUUUGCAUUACAGAAGCAUGAUGCAGCAAAUUGAACUUCGCCCAUGUGCAGAAGUGUCACAUGAUUUUCCUGGCCAAGUGCCAACCUGAAUGACUCAACCUUUUUUUCAGUUUCCCAUAAUUUUACAAGACAAUUCCAUAUUUAUUUUAAACAAAAUGCUGACAGAGUCCCACAUAAUGUGUAUUGCAGUAGUCCAAAUGGGCUGUAGCUAAGGCAUGUGUCACCAUGGUCAGAUAGGACAUCUCAAGGAAUGGGUGCAUCUGGCACACUAUCUCUAACUGUGGAAAGGCAUUCCUGACUACUGGUGAGACUUGUGCAUCCAAGGUCAGGGUUGAGUACAGGAGUACACCCAAGCUGUCAACCUGACUUUUUCAGGGAGAGUGUAAUCCUGUCCAGAACAGGUUGAAUCCCUAUCCUCUGAUUUGCCUUGUGACUGACUAGGACCAAUGUCUAUAAUUUUGAAACCACUUAAAAUCUACGUACAGAACUUGACCGCCUCCUACUCCAAGAUCGUUACACUCCAAAGUAGGGUUGAGUACAGGAGUACACCCAAGCUGUCAACCUGACUUUUUCAGGGAGAGUGUAAUCCUGUCCAGAACAGGUUGAAUCCCUAUCCUCUGAUUUGCCUUGUGACUGACUAGGACCAAUGUCUAUAAUUUUGAAACCACUUAAAAUCUACGUACAGAACUUGACCGCCUCCUACUCCAAGAUCGUUACACUCCAAAGUCUUGAUGGAAUUCUAUAAUUUCGAAACCACUUAAAAUCUACUUAGAGAACUUGACCGCCUACUCCAAGAUCGUUACACUCCAAAGUCUUGAUGGAAAACAUUUGAAGGUAGUUUCAUUGAAUUCUGGUCAAACAAACCAGAAACUGCAUGAAUCAGUUGUGUGAUUAAUUGGUUCUUCAUGGAUGUGUAAUUUGUUGUAUAGUGUUUUUAAUUAAUGAAGAAUGGAUGGUGGGUCUAUUUUCUUCCUUUGCACAACAGGAAGGGGGCUGAUGUUUCCUCCUCAAACUUUCCCUGGACAGGCUGCUUACAACUAUCCUUGAGGAAAAUAACAGCAGUGCAGGCUCAGACCCAUCCAACAUUCCAUUUCCCAUAGGAAGACCCCAAAGGAAGAAAUAAGAAUCUUCCACAGUCUCUCUGCAGCAACUCGAACUGAGCUUUCAUACCUAUUAGUUAUUCAUUGAUAUCUUUGACCUCUGUCAAUUUGCGUAAUCCACUUUAAAUGUUACUUUAGAGAGACAGAGUAUAACUCUAUAGAAAUAAAAGUGAGUGAUGUGGUCA